GAUGAACGCUGGCGGCGUGCCUAAUACAUGCAAGUCGAGCGAACGGACGAGAAGCUUGCUUCUCUGAUGUUAGCGGCGGACGGGUGAGUAACACGUGGAUAACCUACCUCUCAGACUGGGAUAAUUUCGGGAAACCGGAUCUACUACCGGAUAAUAUUUUGAACCUCAUUGUUCACAAGUGAAAGACGGUCUUGCUGUCACUUAUAGAUGGAUACGCGCUGCAUUAGCUAGUUGGUAAGGUAACGGCUUACCAAGGCAACGAUGCAUAGCCGACCUGAACGGGUGAUCGGCCACACUGGAAGUGAGAAACGGUCCAGACUCCGAGAGGGGGCAGCAGUAGGGAAUCUUCCGCGAUGGGCGAAAGCCUGACGGAGCAACGCCGCGUGAGUGAUGAAGGUCUUCGGAUCGUAAAACUCUGUUAUUAGGGAAGAACAUAUGUGUAAGUAACUGUGCACAUCUUGACGGUACCUAAUCAGAAAGCCACGGCUAACUACGUG
rnacentral:rRNA from 1 species